AAAGUCGUAACAAGGUCUCCGUUGGUGAACCAGCGGAGGGAUCAUUACAAGAAGCCGAAAGGCUGCUUAAAACCAUCGCGAACCUAUCCUUCACCGUUGCUUCGGCGGGCGGCCCCCUGGGGCCGCAGCCCGCCCCUCUCCGGAGGGAGGGCGCCCGCCGGAGGUACGAAACCCUCAUGUAUUAUAGUGGCAUCUCUGAGUAAGCAAGCAAAUAAGUCAAAACUUUCAACAACGGAUCUCUUGGCUCUG
rnacentral:misc_RNA from 1 species